UGUAUCAGGGUUGAUUAAUUUAUGUUUAUGAAUAUAAAUUUCCCGAAAUUAAAAGAGUUAUGAAAAUAUUAAUUUUACUGUCAAAUAAGUAUUUAAAAUUUUUUCAUGGUAAUGAAACGUUAUUCGUUUUUAAUUAUAUCUGGUUAUCUAAGAGAUGAAUUUAAUUCAUUCUUUAAUUUAAAUGUUUACUAUUUUUUGUUUUUAUUUAUUUAAAGCUAAAAAUUUGGAGGGAUAAGCUUCUGAAUGUUUUAAAAGUUGUAUUUUAUUAGGUGGUUAAUAGGAUUAGAAUUUUCCAUUUAUUUAAGGAUGUUAUAGUUUACCAUUUUUUUAUAUAAUUUGUAUUUUCUUUAAUUUUCUAUUAGGUUGUUUGUUUUAAUUAAUAAAGUUAAGCAAUAAUGAUUGAAUUAGUAUAGGAGGUGUUUUAAUCUUAUUUUUUUAUUUAAGGUUAAGUAAAGGAAUUCGGCAAUUUAAGUUUUCACCUGUUUAAUAAAAACAUGUCUUUUUGUUUAUGAUUAAG
rnacentral:rRNA from 1 species